ensembl:snoRNA
AUCCUUUUGUAGUUUGUGAGUAUGAGGACUGGGUGUUCACACACGUGUGUGAGAUGUGCCACCCUCAAACCUGGUUACAAUGUCAGUACAUUACCUGUCUAACC